GCGGUCGUAGCUCAAUUGGAUAGAGCCGUAGCCUUCGAAGCUAUUGGUUGGGGGUUCGAGUCCCUCCGACCGCG
rnacentral:tRNA from 1 species